UGGGGAAUUUUGGACAAUGGACGCAAGUCUGAUCCAGCCAUGCCGCGUGCGGGAAGAAGGCCUUCGGGUUGUAAACCGCUUUUGUCAGGGAAGAAACGAGUUUCUCUAAUACAGAGACUUAAUGACGGUACCUGAAGAAUAAGCACCGGCUAACUACGUGCCGGCAGCCGCGGUAAUACGUAGGGUGCAAGCGUUAAUCGGAAUUACUGGGCGUAAAGCGUGCGCAGGCGGUUUUGUAAGUCUAAUGUGAAAUCCCCGGGCUCAACCUGGGAAUUGCAUUGGAGACUGCAAGGCUAGAAUCUGGCAGAGGGGGGUAGAAUUCCGCGUGUAGCAGUGAAAUGCGUAGAUAUGCGGAGGAACACCGAUGGCGAAGGCAAUCCCCUGGGCCUGUACUGACGCUCAUGCACGAAAGCGUGGGGAGCAAACA
rnacentral:rRNA from 1 species